rnacentral:rRNA from 1 species
AUGAACGCUGGCGGCGUGCCUAAUACAUGCAAGUCGAGCGAACAGAUGAGGAGCUUGCUCCUCUGACGUUAGCGGCGGACGGGUGAGUAACACGUGGAUAACCUACCUAUAAGACUGGGAUAACUUCGGGAAACCGGAGCUAAUACCGGAUAAUAUAUUGAACCGCAUGGUUCAAUAGUGAAAGACGGUUUUGCUGUCACUUAUAGAUGGAUCCGCGCCGCAUUAGCUAGUUGGUAAGGUAACGGCUUACCAAGGCAACGAUGCGUAGCCGACCUGAGAGGGUGAUCGGCCACACUGGAACUGAGACACGGUCCAGACUCCUAAGGGAGGCAGCAGUAGGGAAUCUUCCGCAAAGGGCGAAAGCCUGACGGAGCAACGCCGCGUGAGUGAUGAAGGUCUUCGGAUCGUAAAACUCUGUUAUUAGGGAAGAACAAAUGUGUAAGUAACUAUGCACGUCUUGACGGUACCUAAUCAGAAAGCCACGGCUAACUACGUG